rnacentral:rRNA from 1 species
CAAUAGCGUAUAUUAAAGUUGUUGCGGUUAAAAAGCUCGUAGUUGGAUUUCUGCUGAGGACGACCGGUCCGCCCUUCGGGUGAGUAUCUGGUUUGGCCUUGGCAUCUUCUUGGUGAACGUAUCUGCACUUGACUGUGUGGUGCGGUACCCAGGACUUUUACUUUGAGGAAAUUAGAGUGUUUCAAGCAGGCAUACGCCUUGAAUACAUUAGCAUGGAAUAAUAAGAUAGGACCUCGGUUCUAUUUUGUUGGUUUCUAGAGCUGAGGUAAUGAUUAAUAGGGAUAGUUGGGGGCAUUCGUAUUUAACUGUCAGAGGUGGAAUUCUUGGAUUUGUUAAAGACGGACUACUGCGAAAGCAUUUGCCAAGGAUGUUUUCAUUG